rnacentral:rRNA from 1 species
AUUUUAAAGGAAGUUUUCGGAUGGAAUUUGAAAUGACUGAGCGGCGGACGGGUGAGUAACGCGUGGGUAACCUGCCUCAUACAGGGGGAUAACAGUUAGAAAUGACUGCUAAUACCGCAUAAGCACACAGUACCGCAUGGUACGGUGUGAAAAACUCCGGUGGUAUGAGAUGGACCCGCGUCUGAUUAGCUGGUUGGCGGGGUAACGGCCCACCAAGGCGACGAUCAGUAGCCGACCUGAGAGGGUGACCGGCCACAUUGGGACUGAGACACGGCCCAAACUCCUACGGGAGGCAGCAGUGGGGAAUAUUGCACAAUGGGGGAAACCCUGAUGCAGCAACGCCGCGUGAGUGAAGAAGUAUUUCGGUAUGUAAAGCUCUAUCAGCAGGGAAGAAAGUGACGGUACCUGACUAAGAAGCCCCGGCUAACUACGUGCCAGCAGCCGCGGUAAUACGUAGGGGGCAAGCGUUAUCCGGAUUUACUGGGUGUAAAGGGAGCGUAGACGGCACAGCAAGUCUGAAGUGAAAUCCCCGGGCUCAACCCGGGAACUGCUUUGGAAACUGUUGGGCUGGAGUGCUGGAGAGGCAAGCGGAAUUCCUAGUGUAGCGGUGAAAUGCGUAGAUAUUAGGAGGAACACCAGUGGCGAAGGCGGCUUGCUGGACAGUAACUGACGUUGAGGCUCGAAAGCGUGGGGAGCAAACAGGAUUAGAUACCCUGGUAGUCCACGCCGUAAACGAUGCAUACUAGGUGUCGGGGAGCAAAGCUUUCCGGUGCCGCCGCAAACGCAGUAAGUAUGCCACC